rnacentral:rRNA from 1 species
GACGUAGGGCGCGAGCGUUGUCCGGAUUUAUUGGGCGUAAAGAGCUCGUAGGCGGCUUGUCGCGUCGACUGUGAAAACCCGUGGCUCAACCAUGUGGUCUGCAGUCGAUACGGGCAGGCUAGAAUUCGGUAGGGGAGACUGGAAUUCCUGGUGUAGCGGUGAAAUGCGCAGAUAUCAGGAAGAACACCGGUGGCGAAGGCGGAUCUCUGGGCCAUUACUGACGCCGAGGAGCGAAAGCGUGGGGAGCGAACAGG